GUGAACGGGUUUCUGCUGGUGGGUUCUGAGCUCUUGGCUUGUCCUUGGGAGACUUCAUUUCAUGCUGUCCUCUUCUGCAGUUCAUCUUCUUACUGAUGAGUCCAGGAGAACCACACAAAAUGAAUCAUACUCAGGUGAAUUUUUAGAAGAAAGGAUGUACCUGAUGAUGACUCCUUGCACUUCCAAGCUAUCUGAGGGGCCAAUGCAGGUCUCCCAUCCCAAGCUCUUCCAGUCCCUAGAAAGUCAGUGGGAUAGUGCACAUGGUCCACAAACUCUGGGAGACCUGGCAGCUGGGUGGUCCCAGCUCCAAGAGGAUCCCUGCUCCAUGUCCACCUUCUGCCAGGCUUGUGUCACCCAUCAAAGCUGAGAUGAAAAAGCUGUGAUUGGAUGUCUGUUGCUCAGACCCCCUCUUAGAUGAGUGAAAUCAGGCUGUGCAAGGAGGCUGGGGAAAUCAAACGAUGUCAGAUCAAAAGUGUCAUGUUUGCAUUGUAGGGAGGAAGGCAGGGAUAGUAAAACAAAGGCUGUUCCGAGGCCAUUUGCAAGUUCAUGGUGGUUGAUGUGGUUUAACCCAGCAGGCAGGUAAGCACCAUGCAGCUGUUUGCUCCCCCCCCACACUUGUCAGUUGAGGGAAAGAGUUUUGAAAAAAGAUUUAAAAAAAAAACAUGUUGACAUAAAGACAGUUUAAUAGGACAGAAGGAAAGGAAUUAUUACUACUAGUAGUAAUGAUAAAAUACAACACAAGUGAUGCAUGAUGCAAUUGUUCACCACCCACUGUCCAGGCAGCUCCCAAACACCUGCAGCCCAGCCAGCUCCCCCGGUUUUAUUGCUCAUCAUGAGGCCAUAAGGUAUGGGACAUACCCGUGGCCAGACUGUGUCAGCUGUGAUGGCUCUGUCCCCUCUCACCUCCUGGUGCACCCCCAGACCAGCUGCUGGCAGGGUGGUAACUCUGAGAGGCUGGGAAGUCCUCGGCUCUGUGCGAGCCCUGAUCCGCACCAACUAAAGCAUUGUGUGUCAUCAGCAUUCUCAUUUUAAACCCAAAAUACUGCACCAUACCAGCUACUAGGAGGAAAAUUAACUCUAUCCCAGCCAAAAUCAGGACAGUUGAGUGUUUGGGGCUUACUGCAUAUCAAAACCAUUGAUUGAAGUGGUGACAUCUCUCACUGGAGCGUGCAGUGCUCCCAGUCCAGACCAGAAUGCUGACAGCUUGCCUUUGCCUAUCUGAAACGUGCGUGGGCAAGCAAGAUAACCCCACCAGGACGUACUGUUCCUGUUGUUUCCUUUGUGAAUAUUUCACACCCACCUCUAAGUGCUGCCUGGCGCCAGUGUAUGCAAGGCUAUGUGCGGGAGGCCUAGGCUGGCACACGGCA
rnacentral:lncRNA from 1 species